rnacentral:rRNA from 1 species
UACGUAGGGGGCAAGCGUUGUCCGGAUUUAUUGGGCGUAAAGAGCGUGUAGGCGGCCUGGUAGGUCAGCUGUGAAAACUCGAGGCUCAACCUCGAGACGCCGGUUGAAACCAUCAGGCUAGAGUCCGGAAGAGGAGAGUGGAAUUCCCGGUGUAGCGGUGAAAUGCGCAGAUAUCGGGAAGAACACCGAUGGCGAAAGCAGCUCUCUGGGACGGUACUGGACGCUGAGGCGCGAAAGCGUGGGGAGCGAACGAGGGAAUUGAGAUACCCUGGU